AAAGCCUACCAUUGGGGGGGAAAAAAGUCAUUUCAGAUCACAAGCUUAACAGUAUGUUUAAAGCAUGCAUAUUUUCUACCAAGGACGGCAAUAGUGAGAUACUUUUCAAUAUAGCACAGCUUGAUAACAGAACCUGUUAAAUUUGGUGGUAAGCCAUGUGUCUACUCCUUCCUAGAACAUGGCUCAGAAGCUGGCACAGCGGAGGGGUUUAACAGUCACUUGCUGAUGAAUGAGCUAACAUGUGCCCAAAAGAGGAAGACAGGGCAGCUAACAGAAAAUAUACAAAUAACACUUAACAGUUGCUGACAAUCAGCCCAUAAGUAUUUCCUGAUAUUUAGACCAUGUCAUGUACUCUGCAGGAUAAAAAAUUUAGAUAAAAAAUUUAGAAUGUAUCAUAUACAAAGCGAAAUAGGAAAAGACUAGAAUCCGGGAUUGCCCAGUGCAAGCAAACUACAGCCUGUUUUUGUGUGGCUCAUGAGCCAAGAAUGGUUUUUACAUUUGUAAAGUAUUAAAAAAAAGAAGAAUAAAGUGUAACUAGAUGUGGCCUACAAAGUCUAAAAUAUUUACUUUCUGGCCUUUACAAAAGAAAGUGUCCUGGUCCCUGGAAUGGGACAGCACUGCCCAGCAGACUCUGCAGCGGCGGAAGAGUUCUUGUAUGUGCACCUUCCAACACAGAGCCACUCCCAAACUCAUCCAGCUAGCGGACAUUUGAAAUGGGACUAAGGAACUGAAUUUUUAAUGUUCUUUAACUUACAUGCAAAUAGCCACAUGUGGCCAUGGCUACCACACUGGACAGGUAUAAAGUAAAAAAAUGCUUCUGGAAAUGAAUGAAGGGGCUGGAUGGUGGUGAGGACUUCCUAGGGUAGCCAAGGGCUUUCAGUUGAGUGCUUAGAACACAUGACUGCUGUCCUAUAGUUACUGCAAACGGCUUAGAGUUACCAUGUUCACUGAUCUGAAGAAAGCCGUGGAUAAUGCUUCUUUAUGUUUUUUCAUGCAAAGUAUACAACAUGUACACUUCAGCAAGGGGUGGAGAGAAAAUGAAACAGUACUAUGAAUAGCUAAAACUUUUACAAAAGGCAUUUAUGGAAUUAAGUAGGCUUUCAAGUAACUUACUUUUGCAUAUAGAAAGAUUCUAGUUGUCUAAAAUCAGUGCCGAAGCCUUUCUGCUUCAUGAAUUUCUGGAUAUUUGGAUUGCUCUCCCUUAACACACACACACACACAAAAAAACACGAUUAAAAUUUCAUUAGUGUGAUAUGCCCAAUCUAUGUAAAGCAGCGUCAUCUUACCAUCAUUUUACCGACUUUAACUAUUAAAGUUGUAAAGUAAAAACUUA